UCACCCCUCUCUGGGGAAGUCUUAGAGUGU
rnacentral:piRNA from 1 species